CCAAAUCUCUCUUUUGACCUCCAUUUUCUUCCUCUCUGUUCCCUCUUUCGAGCGCCCUCUUCAUCGCCAGUCGAGAUUGAGCUGUGAAUCUUUCGAGCGCCCUCUUCCUCGCCAGUCGCCAUGUAGAACCAUCUCAAAUAGAAAAAGAGUGGAAUGAGCAUGAAAAGCCCGCCUUGGCCAUUAUAUCCUAUUUGAUCGAUAUUCCUUCAUUCGUUUGUUGAGAUUGGUUAACAAUCUAGGACAUUGGUUUGCUAGUUGCCACUGACAUAGACUUUUAUUUGCACAGCAUUCUUGGAGGUAGUCAUGGUGUGCCUCGGGUCCACUUCAAAAGCCGGCAAGGGGACUAUUAUGACAUGGUAAUUUUUUUCUUGUAAAUUUAGUAACUUUAAUGGGUGGCAGUGUUUAAGGUUUGGUUUUGGAUAGUUGUAUAGGAGAAACCACACCACAUACGCAGGUUAUGGACAUGUUAGGGCCGAGCUUAUGAGAUGUUUGGAAUAAUGACUCUCACACGCAAGUUAUUUGUUAAAAUUCGCUUCUUGGAAUUGUUGUUUUCUACGCCACCGUUGCUUAUUAAAUUGACUGCUUGAUAUGCCUUUUUUGGGUUCAUGUAUUUCGUGUACAGAAUGUCCAUUGAAAUGGUUGCUUGCAUUCAUAUCGAAGCAAUCUCAAUAUUGGAAGAGAUGCAUUCUAGAGGGUGGCGGAAUUAUUUCUUUGCAUUAUGAAUUUCUUCUAUUUUUUGUUGCAUUAUUGAUCCAUGUGAAUCUCAUGGUUCUUCGAUAUCUUAUGAUAUGAUAUCUAUUAUUAAUGGAACUCUUAAUUGCAAUUUUGCAUGAACGUGGCAACUUGUGACAGAUAUGUGCAUGGGGAUGUCAAACCAAAGAACUUUUUGCUUGGUCCCCCAGGCACUUCCGAAGAGAAAGAACUCUUCCUUGUUGAUCUUGGAUUAGGUAAGUUCCAUUCCUUUGAUUGUGGAAAGUUUCAUGUCUCUUUGCCAAUAUAUUAUGGAACAAGGCUAAUUAUUUCAUUCGCCACAUACCAGAAACUAAAUGGCGAGACAAUUCAACUGUUCAAUUUCAGGACCUUGUUGAGUUAAGAGCAAUGCUAUGAAGCUGGUUUCUCACCUUGCUUAGAUUCCAUCCUCUGCAGUUCAAUUCAAAGAAGUGUUACUAGCAAUGCCAGUGAAACGCAAGCAGCAACUUCAGGUACACUUGUUACAAAGUCAGAUAAUAACAAUUCAACCUAAUCCAGUUGAUUCCUCUGCCUGUAAAGCUUAAGAAGAGUUAUUUGAUACUCUGGCAGUUUAGGACACUUCAUAUGCAACACCCAUAUGGGCUGAUCUCUUGAGAACAUUCUACACAUCCUGAUGCACCAGGGCCUGAUUAUUCCUUGAAAGUAGAACAUGGAAUCACUUAAUUGUAUUAGAUAUAGUCUUCAAGUCGAACUGAUUGGACCACAAGAAAUGGUCCACCCACUGGAUAACUUCUAACAUUAAGUGCAUGUGAAAUAAAUUGUCAUCCUUAAAUUUAA